rfam:Parcubacteria bacterium GW2011_GWC1_45_14 TW95_C0004, whole genome shotgun sequence.
GGGGUUGUCUAGUUUCGACAGGUUGCUCAUUGAAAAAUUCGCAAGCCGAUCAUUAUGGUUACAUCGUAAAACCAUCCAUAAAGAUACAUAACUGCAAACAUCGUAUCAAAAGUAAAAGGAGCGUUUGCGCAAGCAUUCUCAACUUCUUUUGCGCCAGUUUUGGCCUAAAUCGCCGAAGCCAUUAGACUGCCGACUUCCUAUAGGCAGAGCCUAGUGUCAAUCAUAGGAAUCGCACGAAUCGUUUUCCCUGCAUGAUCCGUGUCAAAUUGCGCCAGGGACAGCUCGCUAAGGUUUUGUCAGUUUUACACUUAUCGGGUCUGCAAAAAACAAACCGACUACGCUUGUAGAGAAUUUUUUUGUGACAUCUCUGGACAUGGGUGCAAUUCCCAUCAACUCCACCG